ensembl:lncRNA
GGACAGGCUUAAUGCAAUGGGGAAUAUUAGGGCAAAAUGGAGAGCCCAGUUCCGGUUUAUUUAUCAAUUUGAACCUAUGAUGACUUCUUAAUCCUGAUCAUGUUCCUAUGAGAUAUAAGAUGUUGAUAAACACAAAAGGUAGCAGAGUGAAGGGUACCCACAAGUUCCGAACUACAUGUACUUCCCCAUGUCCACAGUUACCCUCAUAUUAAGAAAGAAAAAACAGUUGUGGGGGGGGGGGGUAGAGGUGCUAUGAAAGGGGAAAUCCAAUGAGGACCAGCCCAAUGAUCUCUCAACAAGCCAAGACUGAAGAUGUAGCUCAUUCAAGCACACUGGUUUAACCCUUUAUUUUUAACUUUGCUUGGUAGUACAAAAUUCAUAAAAAGUACAAACCAGACAGUUAAAAAUACAUUGACACUGGAAACAAUGAAAAUUUUCCUUUACAAUUUUUUUUUUUUUUUACAUCGAGGUGGCAACUGAUUCAUUCAUCACACCAAGAAGCUAUCCAUCAUUAGUGUUGUGGACAGUGAGCUCCUCCAGGAUCUCCAGUCCUUCUAAGGAAGAGAAAGGAGGAGGGAUCCAUAAACAACGCCUGUGCUGGGAACACACAGGAUUCUCACCCGACAGUGUAAACCAACACAAAUCGGAUGUGUUCAAAGUAUCGAAUGCUGAAUUUUUGGCAUCUCUGGAAGCCAGUCACCCAACUUCUCAAAUACUUUAAAAUGUUUAAAAUGUACUCUUGGUAUAUAAAUACAAUUUUAAAUAUCUUUGCAUAUUCUUGUUUUUUAUUGCUAUAGAAAGUGCUCUCUAGAUUGAAUAAAAUUAAAAAAUAAUUAAAGCUAAAGAAUAUCUUACAUAUUAGCCCAUCACCAUUUAAAGGACUUUUUUUAAUGCAAAAUGUAUGCUUUUUGCUUGUUUAAGUCAAAAUAUUGGCUUAGCUGCACAAACAUCACUCUCACUAACACACACGCCACUCCCUGGACCACAGUGAAUCCGGGAUCCACACUGGCUUCUCUGCUUUGGAGACACAACAAACAUAUGCCAGUCAUCGGCUACCACUGUGAGAUAACAUCAAACCACACCUACCACUCACAUAAAAUGUUAGAAAAAAGUUAGUUUCCAGAAACAGAAUCAAGUAAGUAUAUCUAGAGAAAAUACCCUGUGGUAUACUUUUAUAAAAAAUCUUUGUUUUUCCUUUUUUUUCUCUUAUUUUUGUGGAGCCAAACAAAAACAAAAACAAACCCUUCUCUUUGAAAUAAAUGAAGUACUCAGUGCUAUCAUACCAAUGGAAGCAGGGCAUAGAGCUUGCCUCACCCCCACACCGACACACAUACUUUUUUUGUGCACUUUCGGGUGUUUAAUAAAAGCAAGCUAAGAGAGAAAGCGACAGGGCUAGGAGCCACUAAGAGUGGCUGAGCAUGCUGGCAAUGUGCUCUACCACUGAGCUGUAUCCCAGCUCUCUUUUCAAUUUUUUGCUUUGAGACAGGGUCUGGCUCAGUCACCCAGCCUAUCCCUGAACUCUCUCUGUAGCCCAGGCAGGCCUACAACUUGCAAUCUUCCUCAGAAGCUGUUGCUGAGUAAGCAUCAGCAGGGGCUUGUUUGCUUAAGAAAGGAGUGUUUUAUUGUGGUCUCCCGAUGUCAAAACAAUUUUUCUAGAGUGACUUAAGCCAUUUUCCCUUUUAUUCAAAUAGACUAAGUGACAACUGUGUAGGUAUGUUAAAUAAAAACAGUAAUAGACUAUUUUCUAAGUGACUGAAGAGUGGCAGUAGUGGCCUGAUGGCAGCCGGAGUCAGUGCUGAAUUCUUGGUCCAAUGCCUGUGGUUUCCAUCUGAUUCCAUGGCCUCCUGGGGGAACCAACUGGUGAGAUAGAUGCUCACACUAGAUGCUUCCAAGGACCUUUUGGAGGAAGAGUCUUCUGUCACAGCCCACUGUGUGUAUGAAGAUCUUCUAAUGACUAUCAGUUGGAAUCCGGCUUGGGUAACAGACACGAACACCCCAGCAUAAGCUCAAGCUGUGAACGGCUCCAUUGUUCCUAAGAUUGUGAUUCCAAGGGAGGAGCCGCCAAGAGCUGGGAAUGGUGAGUGGCUAGGGACAGUCCACAAGUACAAAAAACAGGAGCUCUUUCCCGAUGGGAAAUUGAACUGAAAUUUUCAUCAGACUUUCAAUCCCAAAACUUCUUUCAAACCAAACUGAAUUCUGUGUUCAGAAUAGCAAAAAUAUUCCCUUUUGGGUUUGAGCCACAUGCCCAAUGACUUCAUGAUAGAAAUUGUAUAAAAGAUAUAAAAAUAUUCCCUAGUCAACUUCAUAUCUUGCAUGUUUGGAGGAUCUUAGAACUCUUCAAGAAAGCCAAUGCUGCAAGAGAAAAUAACAACAACAAAAAAUGUAAAGCUGUAACAAAAGAGAGAAAUACCACACACUGACCUGCAUGAGUAUUUAAAACCACGGGAAAGCUGUGAUUCUCCCUCACCCCAGCUGACCACAGUCCACUUCCCUAUUACACCUUCCUUCUAGAAUUUAGUCUAAGAACAUUUAAGUACCACCAAUCCAAAGGAACCUUUCACAGGCGUCACCUAAGAGCAUCAAAAGCACAGAUAUUUACAUUACAGUUCAUAACAAUAGCAAAAUUACAAUUAUGAAGUAGCAACGAAAUAAUUUUCACCACAGCAUGAGGAGCUGUGUUAAAGGGUCAAGGUAUUAGGAAGGUUGAGAAUCACUGCAGUGGAGUCUGAGAACCAAGGAAACAAGGCUGUUUUCACACACGUUCCCCUUGUGAACCCUGCUUCACUUCUCCAGGGAACACCGUCUUAACCCCUGCCCCUGGGCUGUCACAUCAUUCUACUAUGUUCAUCUGCAUUAGUUGUUCAUUCAUGUCCCCUUGGACCUCAGAAGGCUUGCUGGAUGGAAGUUACAUGGUCAAGCUCAAGUUCACAUCCACCUUUGUUAACAGAGACAAACUGAAGCCUUUUAAAUUUAUUGUUAAUAAAGUUGGGCUUUCUGUGUGUCUGUUUCUGUGUUUCUCUCUGUCUAUGCCUCUGUGUCUGUCUCAGAUAUGGUCUCACUGUAUAGCCCUAACUGACCUGGAACUCACUAGGUAAACUAGGUUGGCCUCAAAAAUCACAGAGCUCCUGCCUUUGUCUUCUAAGUACUGUCGUAUAUCACCAUGCCCAGCCUAAAUUAGGCAUUUUUCACAUUUACUAAUCACUGUAUUUUCCAAUAACACACAAUACUCAUAUUUUG